rnacentral:rRNA from 1 species
GAUGAACGCUGGCGGCGUGCCUAAUACAUGCAAGCCGAGCGAACGGACGAGGAGCUUGCUUCUCUGAUGUUAGCGGCGGACGGGUGAGUAACACGUGGAUAACCUACCUAUAAGACUGGGAUAACUUCGGGAAACCGGAGCUAAUACCGGAUAAUAUUUUGAACCGCAUGGUUCAAUAGUGAAAGACGGUCUUGCUGUCACUUAUAGAUGGAUCCGCGCUGCAUUAGCUAGUUGGUAAGGUAACGGCUUACCAAGGCAACGAUGCAUAGCCGACCUGAGAGGGUGAUCGGCCACACUGGAACUGAGACACGGUCCAGACUCCUACGGGAGGCAGCAGUAGGGAAUCUUCCGCAAUGGGCGAAAGCCUGACGGAGCAACGCCGCGUGAGUGAUGAAGGUCUUCGGAUCGUAAAACUCUGUUAUUAGGGAAGAACAUAUGUGUAAGUAACUGUGCACAUCUUGACGGUACCUAAUCAGAAAGCCGCGGCUAACUACGUG